rnacentral:lncRNA from 1 species
AGAAUUUGAUUAAGAUUUGAUUUAGGAUUUAAGAUUUGGUUAGAAUUUGAUUUAGGAUUUAGAAUUUGAUUAAGAUUUAGUAUAGGAUUUAGGAUUUGUUUAGGAUUUGGUAUAGGAUUUAGAGUUUGGCUAGGAUUUUAUUAGGAUUUGGUUUACGAUUUAGAAUUUUUCUAGGAUUUGAUUUAGAGUUUAAGAUUUUUCUAGAGUUUGAUUUAGGAUUUAAGAUUUUUUUAGAGUUUGAUUGAAGUCUAUUAAGAUUUCAACUAGGAUUAAAUUAUAA